UACGGAGGGUGCAAGCGUUAUCCGGAUUCAUUGGGCUUAAAGGGUGCGUAGGUGGGCUGGUAAGUCAGUGGUGAAAUCCCCGAGCUUAACUUGGGAACUGCCAUUGAUACUAUCAAUCUUGAAUACCGUGGAGGUCAGCGGAAUAUGUCAUGUAGCGGUGAAAUGCUUAGAUAUGACAUAGAACACCAAUUGCGAAGGCAGCUGGCUACACGAAUAUUGACACUGAGGCACGAAAGCGUGGGGAUCGAACAGG
rnacentral:rRNA from 1 species